rnacentral:tRNA from 1 species
GCCGUGGGGCCGUUGCGGAUGCCGCUGUAUGCCGCCCCCUGCAGGCUCCUGCUAGGCGGGAGACGCAAGUACGCGAUUAUUCACGGCCUCGCUGCUUCUUCGUAAUCAGCAGGUCAGCGGUUCGAAUCCGCUCGUCGGCUCCA